rnacentral:tRNA from 1 species
GCCGAGGUGGCGGAAUUGGUAGACGCACAGGACUUAAAAUCCUGUGUCCUCUUAGGGCGUGCCGGUUCGAUUCCGGCCCUCGGUA